rnacentral:rRNA from 1 species
UGGGGAAUUUUGGACAAUGGGCGAAAGCCUGAUCCAGCAAUGCCGCGUGUGUGAAGAAGGCCUUCGGGUUGUAAAGCACUUUUGUCCGGAAAGAAAUCCUUGGCUCUAAUACAGUCGGGGGAUGACGGUACCGGAAGAAUAAGCACCGGCUAACUACGUGCCAGCAGCCGCGGUAAUACGUAGGGUGCAAGCGUUAAUCGGAUUACUGGGCGUAAAGCGUGCGCAGGCGGUUUGCUAAGACCGAUGUGAAAUCCCCGGGCUCAACCUGGGAACUGCAUUGGUGACUGGCAGGCUAGAGUAUGGCAGAGGGGGGUAGAAUUCCACGUGUAGCAGUGAAUGCGUAGAGAUGUGGAGGAAUACCGAUGGCGAAGGCAGCCCCCUGGGCCAAUACUGACGCUCAUGCACGAAAGCGUGGGGAGCAAACAGGAUUAGUACCCUGGUAGUCCACGCCCUAAACGAUGUCAACUAGUUGUUGGGGAUUCAUUUCCUUAGUAACGUAGCUAACGCGUGAAGUUGACCGCCUGGGG